UAUCACUGAUUUCAAUUUUUCCCUUCAGAAUGUAAAUAUAUAUUAAUGUUUUUCCAAAUCCAGGUCCUUUACACAUUUUCUCACAGGUGUCUGUGCCAUUAUUGGAGGAGUGUUUACAGUUGCAGGACUCAUCGAUUCUUUGAUCUAUCAUUCAGCUCGAGCCAUUCAGAAGAAAAUUGAACUUGGAAAAACUACAUAGAUUAGUGUCUACAAACCUUCCUAAAAGACUUGAAGAAAUGAAAAAUAACCCUAACAUCAAUGUCCAAUAUGAAUGUGCCAAGUGAAGAUAAUUGGAACUUUGAGAAGAGACUGACAUUCCAGUCCUGGGACAAGUAAAACAGGGAUUAAAUUUAAACAUCGAUGUUUGUGGCUGUUAAAACAUUUCUGUUUUAAUAUUCACAUUAAUCUGUUGGCAUAUAUUUCAGUUUCUAUAUUCCAAAAGAAAGUGUCAUCCAGAAUAUAGACUACAAUAACUUCUACAUGUCUAAAACUAGUUAUUUCUAAUUUAAUUUGUAUUUAGUGAUACUGUAAAUUGUGUGGUUGGAAUAAAUUCUCAGGAAAAUGUUUUACUAAA